UACGAAGGGGGCUAGCGUUGCUCGGAAUCACUGGGCGUAAAGCGCACGUAGGCGGACUCUUAAGUCGGUGGUGAAAUCCUGGAGCUCAACUCCAGAACUGCCUUCGAUACUGAGAGUCUCGAGUCCGGAAGAGGAGUGUGGAAUUCCUGGUGUAGCAGUGAAAUGCGUAGAUAUCAGGAGGAAUACCGAUGGCGAAGGCGGGUCUCUGGGCUGACACUGACGCUCAUGCACGAAAGCGUGGGGGAGCAAACAGG
rnacentral:rRNA from 1 species